UGGACCUGAGCUCAGGCAAGACUACCCGCUGAACUUAAGCAUAUCAAUAAGCGGAGGAAAAGAAACGAACCAGGAUUCCCUUAGUAACGGCGAGCGAACGGGGAAGAGCCCAGCGUGUCAAUCUGGCUCUCUUGCAGAGCCCGAGUUGUGGUCUGGAGGGCGGCGCUCCGCGCGGUCCGAUCGCCAAGUCCGCUGGAAAGCGGCGUCGGAGAGGGUGACAACCCCGUGGGCGAUCGGCAGCCGCGCACCUCGAGCCCGUUCCGCGGAGUCGGGUUGCUUGGGAAUGCAGC
rnacentral:rRNA from 1 species